rnacentral:lncRNA from 1 species
CGCCGACGAGCUUUUCUUCCGUGGUCAAAUUCUGCCGUUACAGCAUUCAGUCACUUUACCUUCUGAGUUAACAACCGAAGGCCGGAGCUUCAUCCGCUCCAUCUCAUUUUCCGGAUCCGAACCUACAAGUGUUGUUAGCAGCCGAAGCAGCAGCACUCGUAGUAAUAAUUCAGGAACCAGUGGGAGUGGUAGUACCUCAGGAUCCGAAGUCACCAAAAUUCGAAACCAGUUCCAUUCCCACCCGAGUCCGAGGCCACAGAUCCGAACCCGUAACGUUCAUCACUCCAACCCGAAAACAUCAUCAAAGUGGAGCUUUUUAC